rnacentral:rRNA from 1 species
UUCCAGACUCCUACGGGAGGCAGCAGUGGGGGAUAUUGCACAAUGGGGGGAACCCUGAUGCAGCGACGCCGCGUGGGUGAAGGAGCGUUUCGGCGCGUAAAGCCCUAUCGGCAGGGAAGAAGGAGGACGGUACCUGACUAAGAAGCCUCGGCUAACUACGUGCCAGCAGCCGCGGGAAUACGUAGGGGGCAAGCGUUGUUCGGAAUGACUGGGCGUAAAGGGUGCGUAGGCGGUGUAGCAAGUUAGAAGUGAAAUACCUAGAGCUUAACUCAGGUGCUGCUUCUAAAACUGCUAUACUUGAGUGCAGUAGAGGAAAGUGGAAUUCCUAGUGUAGCGGUGGAAUGCGUAGAUAUUAGGAGGAACAUCAGUGGCGAAGGCGACUUUCUGGACUGUAACUGACGCUGAGGCACGAAAGUGUGGGGAGCAAACAGGAUUAGAUACCCCAGUAA